CCUACGGGCGGCAGCAGUCGAGAAUCAUUCACAAUGGGGGAAACCCUGAUGGUGCGACGCCGCGUGGGGGAAUGAAGGUCUUCGGAUUGUAAACCCCUGUCAUGUGGGAGCAAAUUAAAAAGAUCGUACCACAAGAGGAAGAGACGGCUAACUCUGUGUCAGCAGCCGCGGUAAUACAGAGGUCUCAAGCGGUGUUCGGAAUCACUGGGGGUAAAGCGUGCGGAGGCUGGUUCGUAAGGCGUGUGUGAAAGGCGCGGGCCUAACCCGCGGAGGGCCGAUGAUACUGCGAGACUAGAGUAAGGGAGGGGGAACCGGAAUGCUUGGUGGAGCAGUGAAAGGCGUAGAUAUCGAGCGGAACACUCGUGGCGAAGGCGGGUUCCUGGAGAUUAACUGACGCUGAGGCACGAAGGCCAGGGGAGCGAAAGGGAUUAGAUACCCCAGUAGUC
rnacentral:rRNA from 1 species